UAAGGAAUAUUGGUCAAUGGACGCAAGUCUGAACCAGCCAUGCCGCGUGGAGGAUGAAGGCCCUCUGGGUUGUAAACUUCUUUUAUCUGGGACGAAAAAAGGUCUUUCUAGAUCACUUGACGGUACCAGAGGAAUAAGCACCGGCUAACUCCGUGCCAGCAGCCGCGGUAAUACGGAGGGUGCAAGCGUUAUCCGGAUUCACUGGGUUUAAAGGGUGCGUAGGUGGGUUGGUAAGUCAGUGGUGAAAUCUCCGAGCUUAACUUGGAAACUGCCAUUGAUACUAUCAGUCUUGAAUACCGUGGAGGUCAGCGGAAUAUGUCAUGUAGCGGUGAAAUGCUUAGAUAUGACAUAGAACACCAAUUGCGAAGGCAGCUGGCUACACGAAUAUUGACACUGAGGCACGAAAGCGUGGGGAUCAAACA
rnacentral:rRNA from 1 species